rnacentral:rRNA from 1 species
GACGAACGCUGGCGGCGUGCUUAACACAUGCAAGUCGAACGGAAAGGCCCUGCUUGCAGGGUACUCGAGUGGCGAACGGGUGAGUAACACGUGGGUGAUCUGCCCUGCACUUCGGGAUAAGCCUGGGAAACUGGGUCUAAUACCGGAUAGGAGCCAUUUUUAGUGUGAUUGUUGGAAAGUUUUUUCGGUCUAGGAUGCGCUCGCGGCCUAUCAGCUUGUUGGUGGGGUAAUGGCCUACCAAGGCGGCGACGGGUAGCCGGCCUGAGAGGGUGGACGGCGACAUUGGGACUGAGAUACGGCCCAGACUCCUACGGGAGGCAGCAGUGGGGAAUAUUGCACAAUGGGCGCAAGCCUGAUGCAGCGACGCCGCGUGGGGGAUGACGGCCUUCGGGUUGUAAACUCCUUUCGCUAGGGACGAAGCUUUUUGUGACGGUACCUAGAUAAGAAGCACCGGCUAACUACGUG